AUUGAACGCUGGCGGCAGGCUUAACACAUGCAAGUCGAGCGAGCGGCGGACGGGUGAGUAAUGUCUGGGAAACUGCCUGAUGGAGGGGGAUAACUACUGGAAACGGUCGCUAAUACCGCAUACCCUCAGAUGUGCCCAGAUGGGAUUAGCUAGUAGGUGGGGUAAUGGCUCACCUGGGCGACGAUCCCUAGCUGGUCUGAGGGGAUGACCAGCACAACGGGAACGGGGAAACGGCCCAGAGUCCUACGGGAGGAAGCAGUGGGGAAUAGUGCACAAUGGGCGCAAGCCUGAUGCAGCCAUGCCGCGUGUGUGAAGAAGGCCUGCGGGUUGUAAAGCACUUUCAGCGAGGAGGCGUUACUCGCAGAAGAAGCACCGGCUAACUCCGUGCCAGCAGCCGCGGUAAUUC
rnacentral:rRNA from 1 species